rnacentral:rRNA from 1 species
CCUACGGGUGGCAGCAGUGAGGAAUAUUGGUCAAUGGGCGAGAGCCUGAACCAGCAAAGUCGCGUGAGCGAAGACGGUCCUAUGGAUUGUAAACCUCUUUAGCCGGGGAGCAAUGCCGGGCACGCGUGCCCGGAGGGAGAGUACCCGCAGAGUCAGCAUCGGCUAACUCCGUGCCAGCAGCCGCGGUAAUACGGAGGAUGCGAGCGUUAUCCGGAUUUAGUGGGUUUAAAGGGUGCAUAGGUGGAUUUUUAAGUCAGCGGUAAAAUGUCCGGGCUCAACCCGGGCCGGCCGUUGAAACUGGGGAUCUUGAGUGGGCGAGAAGUAUGCGGAAUGCGUGGUGUAGCGGUGAAAUGCAUAGAUAUCACGAAGAACUCCGAUUGCGAAGGCAGCACACCGGCGCCCGACUGACGCUGAGGCACGAAAGCGUGGGGAUCGAACAGGAUUAGAUACCCUAGUAGUC